rnacentral:rRNA from 1 species
UACGUAGGGUGCAAGCGUUGUCCGGAAUUAUUGGGCGUAAAGAGCUCGUAGGCGGUUUGUCGCGUCUGCUGUGAAAACUGGGGGCUCAACCCCCAGCCUGCAGUGGGUACGGGCAGACUAGAGUGCGGUAGGGGAGAUUGGAAUUCCUGGUGUAGCGGUGGAAUGCGCAGAUAUCAGGAGGAACACCAAUGGCGAAGGCAGAUCUCUGGGCCGUAACUGACGCUGAGGAGCGAAAGCAUGGGGAGCGAACAGG